AAUCAGACGCUGCGACCGCAGUUUCCUGAGGUGUCCUUUAUCGGUAACAAUGUGUUCACAUUUCCGUAUCGGAGGCACUAUACACAUAGCAAUUACAACUUCACAGUUCACGACCGUAUCCUUAAAGGGAAGACAGAGGCGUAUCUCGUGUGUGCGAUGGCGGGCGAGCCGUCGGAGGAGAGAGAGUCCAGCGAGCGGCGCGUGCUCUGCGUCCUGGCGUGCUGUCAGUAAAGUGACGAGCUGGAACACGGCCCGUCCACGCCCUGCAGCUGUUGCUCCGGGUUGGAAAUUAACUGGAAAUGGAUUGGCGCUCAUUUUGAAGUAACGAUAAAUUUGGAGCUGGUAUUGACUUGGAAGUGACGACACAACCACAAUUAGGAAAUUGCUUUAAUGGGUGCAUUAUACGAAGAAACUGCAUAAACAAGAAAGACAAUGCACAUUUGUAAAGGGAUACAUUCAUUAAAAUUGAGACGGGAGCAGUCCAUCUGUGGAGUUGUUUGGCGAGCGCGGAGACGGCGUCGGCGCAUGUUUCGGCAUGUCCCGUCCCGCCGAC